UUGGAUAACCGUGGUAAUUCUAGAGCUAAUACAUGCUGGAAACCCCAACUUCGGGAGGGGUGUAUUUAUUAGAUAAAAAACCAACGCCCUUCGGGGCUUCUUGGUGAUUCAUAAUAACUUUACGGAUCGCAUGGCCUUGCGCCGGCGACGGUUCAUUCAAAUUUCUGCCCUAUCAACUUUCGAUGGUAAGGUAUUGGCUUACCAUGGUUUCAACGGGUAACGGGGAAUUAGGGUUCGAUUCCGGAGAGGGAGCCUGAGAAACGGCUACCACAUCCAAGGAAGGCAGCAGGCGCGCAAAUUACCCAAUCCCGACACGGGGAGGUAGUGACAAUAAAUACUGAUACAGGGCUCUUUUGGGUCUUGUAAUUGGAAUGAGUACAAUUUAAACCUCUUAACGAGGAACAAUUGGAGGGCAAGUCUGGUGCCAGCAGCCGCGGUAAUUCCAGCUCCAAUAGCGUAUAUUAAAGUUGUUGCAGUUAAAAAGCUCGUAGUUGAAACUUGGGUCUGGCUGGCAGGUCCGCCUCACCGCGUGUACUUGUCCGGCCGGGCCUUCCUUCUGGAGAACCUCAUGCCCUUCACUGGGCGUGUUGGGGACCAGGACUUUUACUUUGAAAAAAUUAGAGUGUUCAAAGCAGGCCUUUGCUCGAAUACGUUAGCAUGGAAUAAUAGAAUAGGACGUGCGGUCCUAUUUUGUUGGUUUCUAGGACCGCCGUAAUGAUUAAUAGGGACAGUCGGGGGCAUCAGUAUUCAAUUGUCAGAGGUGAAAUUCUUGGAUUUAUUGAAGACUAACUACUGCGAAAGCAUUUGCCAAGGAUGUUUUCAUUAAUCAGUGAACGAAAGUUAGGGGAUCGAAGACGAUCAGAUACCGUCGUAGUCUUAACCGUAAACUAUGCCGACUAGGGAUCGGGCGAUGUUCUUUUUCUGACUCGCUCGGCACCUUACGAGAAAUCAAA
rnacentral:rRNA from 2 species